rnacentral:lncRNA from 1 species
UUUUUUUUUUUUUUUUUUUUUUUUUAAGCAUUGUAGUAAGUGGUGGAGGCAAUCUUAGUACACUGAUUCUGGAUUUUUGAAAUAGAAUGCUCCUAAAGUGUCUGCCCUAAGGGAACCAAGGAUAUUAAUGGCUUAAUAUUUGCAAGUCACUAUAUGUAUUCUCACAGCAAAGGGAAGCCUAUCUCAUUUGUAAAACAUAACCUCAAGAAAUAGAACUAUAUACAAAAUAAGCCAAGCCCUGCUAAAAUAUUUCAUUUUCCACUACUUUGCAUUAUUAACUAGCUUUGGAUUGUUGAUUUUUAUUAACUCUCUGGCUGCUUGACCAUAGAAAGAAUUAAAAAGAUGUUUUGAUUCCCAAUGUCUUCUUUCAAGAAAAGCUGAGUGUGUCUUCCAUGGGUGAGUGGUUUUAAAAUCCCACCAAAUUGGCACAUUUUUCAAAGUCUGUUCAGAAAACAUAAGUGUUCAAAAUUAUGAAAAUUUUGGAGGCCAUAAUUUUCCCAGCUGGAUGAAGUGGAUAACGCUAAGAUGCCUCAUAGAUCAUACCAUGUUGUCAUUUAUUAUAAUGUUUGAACAUAAUACAGAAUUUGUGUUGUCAAGAAUAUUGGGUGGGGUGAUUUAUUGGCUAAGAUUGAUUAUGAUGCUAAUAGUGCAGAUGGCUUAAAUUUUGGAAGAGGGAAAUUUCUCAUCACUGAGAAUGAAGGAAUAAAUGCUGGGUUGCCAAGAAACAAAGGGGCCUUCACUUAGAAAAGACUAAUUUACCUGCCACGUGCAGACAAUAUUCAAGAAAUAGUUUUUGUUUUGUCUUCCUUCAAACAUACACUUUAAACUCUAUUUCUUGCCUCAGGGAAUAGUGGACAUUUUAUGUAUGUGAAAUGUUUUUCUACAGUGAAGCAAACUUUUGUGAGCUCUCCCUCUGGGACAAUGUGGGCUGUGCUUUCAAAGUUUCUCUUCAGUUUCCUGCUGUAAGUACUGAAACCAUGACCUUGCCUGCAAGGCUUUUGCAGCUGAAUGUCUAGAGCUCUGACGUUUGCAAUGACUUUCAGUCAUUUUCUGGAGGCUAACACCUGGAAGCCAUCACCUGUAGGUGCCCAGCUGCCACACAAUGUACCCCACACAGCAGUGUGGGCGCUAAUAGAGAGGCAUUGACCUACCAGGUAAAACAAACAAGACAGACACCAGAUUGUCUCAUGUAGAAAUGACACUGCCUGUCCCUAUCUGACCACCACGACUAUUCAAAAAUUCAGAUGACAGUAUAGGAAUAAGAGGAGCCAAAAAAUCCAUGAAUAAUAACUCAAAUUUGCUUUUUCUUCCUAAGUGAUAUAUAUAAGCAGAGGGGGUUCCUCAGAACCCCAAUGACAAGUCACUCUGCCUCUCUUUUGAUCUGAAUUCUAUGUACUCGAGAGCAGGGUUUUUGGAAACCAGGCCCUAGUCUUCACCAUCCUCAAUCAACAGCCAGGACUCUGAAGCUGGUCCUUUACUCAUGUUACCUAUUCCAAAGUUACACUUAGUUCAUCUAAAUAUAAAUAAAGUGACAGCAACAAUGCUUGGGAAGAAUGAGAUUGCUAAUUUGAAGAAAUCUUGAGUUUUAUCAAGUCUGAGGCUGGCUUCAUGUAGUUUACACUAAAAUAUUUUAUUUACAUCAUUGAGUCACCUAUGAACUAGGGAUGUGUCCUUCAAAAAUAUUUAUAGUAGUAAAAUGAAGCCCUCCUUGUCCAAAAAAUGGGAGUGCUAAUUAAUCGAAAAUUGAUGUGUCACCUGAUAAGCGUCUCUUUAUAGGAGCAAGAAUGACCCUUAUGCCAAUGGAAAGAUACAGAGCUUGAGGCAUUUCUCUAACUGAGAACAUCGCCCGGUAAAUGAAUGGGAUUUUGCAGGUCUGCUCUUGUACACAAUUAUUCUUCCACACAAUGAUAUCUAUUCUGGGCAAACCUGCAAUGCUGUAUUUAAAAGCUUUUUCUUCUUCUUCUGUACACAGUAGGGAUAAACAGGCAACUCUCUUUGAAGUAGAACAGAGAGUGACUCCAUGAAGUCAAGGGCUGUUGCGAAAGAAUGUAAAGCAAAAGGUGAAAAACUUGACUAACAGCCAUUUAAGAAUGAAAAUGUGUUUUAGCUGGGAUUCCAUUAACUGAUCAAAGAGUGACGUGUGCAUGUGCGUGCACGCGCCCACACACACACAUUUAUACAGGCUCUUAUACCAAAAGAUUUGCCUUUCCAUGUGCUUUAUCAAAUGGGUUUGGCCAACAUCUUAUUGCCUUCAGCACUCCAAUGUCACAUCAAAGCAGAUUUGUUUAAUGCAUCUCUGUAAUUCAUUACCUGAAUUUCCUAUCUCAUAUGCAGAUCCACUUGCUCACUGGCUGAUGUUUUGUGGUUCCUAAGAGCAGUAUUCUAUUUGAAGAAGGACCAGACUGGCUUAUUCAGAUUCAGAUGUGGACAACUAUUUACCCUGGGGAAACCAGACAAAAAAAUGUUUUUUUUUUCCUCAAGGCAAGAGAAGCUUGUCUGCAGAUUUGCAUCUGAGAUCUGGUACUAGAUAAUGUUAGUGCUUUCUUGAGCCUAAAAUCUGGGUCUAUUUGACUCAAUGCUCACAACUAGCAAAGGAUCAUUUAUCACUGAAUAACAUGGUUGGCAUGUUUAAUGAUCUAAUAAUAAUUAAUUACUAAGACCCUACCAUGUACCAUUUAAUGUGUAAGGCACUGCAGAUAAACAUUUAAAAAUUAUUUUAUUUGCAGAACAGAAACAGACUCACAGACUUUUAAAAACUUAUGGUUACCAAAGGGGGCAGGUUUGGGGAAAGUGGACUGGGCAUUUGAGGAAAGUAGACUGGGAGUUUGGGAUUUACAUAUGCACACUAAGGUAUAUGGAAUGAUUGGACAAUGGGAACCUUCCGAAUAGCACAGAGAACUCUACCCAAUCUUCUGUGAUAAUCUAUAUGGGAACAUAACAUGAAAGAGAAUGGAUGUGUGUUUACGUAUAACUGAAUCACUUUGUUGUACAACAGAACUUAUCACAAUCUUGUAAAUCAACUAUACUUCAAUAAAACUUUAAAAAGGGAGCUUAGGUCUUGCUAAGAUAAAUUUUAAAAUUCUUUUUCAUUAUGGUUUAUUACAGGAUAUUGAAUAUAGUUCCUUGUGCUAUACAGUAGGGGCUGUUGAUUACCCAUCCUAUAUAUAAUACUUUGCAUCUGCUAGUCCCAAACUCCCAAUCCAUCCCUCCCCCACCUCCUUGGCAACCACAGGCCCGUUCCCUAUGCCCAUUUAGACAUAUAGACAGUCGCUCAAGUUUUUUCCAACUUUAGCCAAACAUGUCUACACUGCACCAUCUCCAAGCUGAAGGUAGGAGCUGCAUGAAGGAAGCAGAAGGAGAGAUGAAUAGGCCUAAUGUUCUUUCUGAUAUUCACCCCUAUUGUUGCCUCCAUUCUUAUUCAAGGACACCAUCCUUUUUAAAAUCCUAACUGAACUAAAAUCAACAGUAUCACAUCCUUUCUACUGCCCAGGUGUCAGUGUCAGAAGCUAAUAGUGCACUGAGGCAGCUCAGCCUCCCUCAGAGCAGCCUGUGUGACGGGUGCUCUGAUUGGAGAACACCACGGGGAGAGCACAAAUGGUAUUUUUCAUCACAAAACUCGAUGUGCCCAGAUACACUUGAUUACCCAAGCAGUGUUUAUUUGAACAGGGUUAGGACGAUUUAGGAUGUAGCUUGCUUUCUUCUCUCCUUUGAUCAGCUGGACAAAGUGGAUGUUGGUCAAGAUAAUAAGCUAGGUAAAUUAUGAAAUAACUCAGUUCAAAAUCAGUAUGUAAACAUGAUUAUACAGCCCAUACUUUGGCUCCAAAAAGAAAAAAAAAUUUUUUUUUUAAAUUUCUUUCUGUUUCUGUGCCUUUACACAUGGGCUCUUUGGGGGUCUUAUUUUCUGAGCAUAACGCAUCAAAGUUUUUUCGGUGUUCCACCGCAGUGAGGCCCUCCUCUGUUGAGCGUUAUCUUGAGACCUAGUUCUCUUUAGUGAGAAUUUCAAUAGGUGAAAUAGAAAAUGAUCAGUGAGCAAUGAGGAGUAUUAUAAUGGAAACAUCAUUUCAAAUGAAGGCUUUAACAUCUGUUUCGCUUUCUAAUUACAAAUGCAGCACUCUCUCCUGACAGCCAGUCUCACCAUCACCACCAUAAAUCACAAUCAUAAAAAAGUUAAAAAAAAUGAAGUGAUUUACGUGGCUUUGGGUGCUUUGCAUUCAGAACCUCAUGCCUACUUCAAUCAUGUUGCUUUCACGCACCGGAUGAAAUCAGGUGGGAUGGAGAUGGGGAAAUAGGGCUCUAUACCAAUCAUGCAAUUCAUUUUUCCAUAGACUUUCACUAAAUCCUCAUGUAAACAAAAAUGGCCCUGGGAGGAGAAAACAAACAAACAAAACAACAACAACUACACACAGCUGAGAAGAAAUUAACUUUGGAAAAUUCAGUCAUUUAGGAAUACGUAUGUGUUAAAAACCUCCUAUGUGACAAGCCUGGUGCUGGUCUCUGGGGACAAAGAAGUAAAUAAAAUAUAUUCCUAGAACUGACAGCCAUUUUUUUAAAUGUCUUUGAAAGACACGUUUAAAAAAAUGAUUGCAUAUAUAACUAUAUAAUCACUACUGUGAUGCUUCAGUGAAAGAAAACGGCAGGGCUCUAUGACAAUGAAACCUGCAAAAAAGACCCCACCAAAACAGCAAAACCCUAAGGAGAUAGCACAAAGACCCCAGGAAGCAUUCUUCGGCGGACUUUCAGAAACAGAAGCCACAUCUCCAGGAUUUUUUUCAAUUUCUGAAAAAUCAAUAAUUAGAAGCAGAAAACAGCUUGGAAAAUUUCAACAAAAUAUUGAAGAUGGAAUUUAUAGAUGUAAAUUCCUAAAAUUUCAGACCAAAAGAAUGAGAACAUUUUGUGACAUAUGUCAACUUUUAUACCAAGAAGUAAUAUGUCUAAUGUCAAAAGUUGAUGCGUAUGAAACAACCUAGUAAACAAAAAUAGAGCUGCAAAUUACCCAGACCUUAGCGACAAAAAAAUGAGGACAGGUGACCCAGAGGAAACACAUCCCUAUUCUAGUAUAGGGUUACACCAGUUUCUUGGAAAGAAGUAAAAUUACCACUGAAACGAUCAUAUAGAAAUAUGCAUAUACUAUUAUGUUUUGUAUAAUAACAGUUCCUAUACACUUCUAAAUGCAUUCAUACUACAUGUCACAUAUCAUGUUGUACAUAAGUCUAUAAUAGAUAGUUUUAGUAAAAGAAGGCUAUGCUGUUGUAAUAAUCAAUUCCUGAGUCCUACUAAUUUAAAACUCACUUGUGCAACAUGUUCAUUUUGAUUCAAAUGAAAAUGAGUUUCAUGUGGUCCUCAAAUAAGAAAUCAUGAUGAUGGAGUUCCUACCAACUGAAACUUUUCUGAUUGCCACAGUGGUGGAAAGAGCUUAUGAACUGCCCACUAAUUCUCAAAAGCUUAGAUGUUACAGUCCUUCAAAUUUCACUGGCUAAACCAAGGCAUAUGGUCAUUACUAGAUCAUUUGCCCCAAAAUACAAAGGAGCCAGAUCUUUUUUUUUAACCUCAUAAAACACAGAUACUGUAUUUAACAUACAUAUAACAUAUGCCAUAUGAAUAUGUUUCAUUCUCUCAUCUGUAUCAAUAACGUGUGGUUAAAUAUUGAUUUCCUCACAAGAUUUAUCUGUUAUCGCCAAUUAAAAUGCAGAUAUUUAUAUCAAGCCAAUCUGAUAAACAGCCUCUGCCUUCCACCUCUCUUUUUAAAUGGUAUCUAAACAGGGGAACAUAGCUUACUUCUAUGUGAAAACACAAGCCUUUAAGCCUAGUAAGUAGAAGAUGGAAUAUUAAGGACAUCUCUGCAUGAUAGCAGGUGAGUAUGACACACUAUAUUUAUAGAAAGGAGUUAGUGAUUGGGAGACUACAGCUAUUGAAAUUCAAAACAGCAGAACUGGAUGAGAGGUUAAGCCAUCCUGAUGAAGUCUAAUUAAUAUGAACUCAAUUUGUUCAUAAAAAAGGCUUUUUCCCCUAAAAAUAGUCAGUGUGUUAUGCAGGGAUUAAUCAGCAGUCAGUCAGAAAUAAAUGUUUUCUCAGUGUGUUUUACAAGGAAUGAAACAUUUUAGCCUUCCUUGACAAGAAAAUAAAAUGCUCAUUUCAUAGAAGAUGUCUUUCAUGUAGUCAAAAAGAUUUUUGUUCAUAAAUCUAUGUUUUAAAAACUAUAUAUAUCUUGCUGAAUAGCUCCUUUUUUUCUCCAUUCUUCCAAAGCAUACAUCCAUCAUCUUUGCCCUAGGAAAUCACUAAAGUUUUCACUUCAAUAAUAGAACAUAAAUAUUGAAACAAUAGCUAACUAAACAUGAAUACUUCAAAGAGAGUCUGGCAAUUCAUACUUUUUCAAAUAUUGUAGUGCCUUUUUCUGUGAUUACAAGAUAUGAACCUUGAACACAUUUUUUUAUUUUUUCUACUCCUGGUCCCUCCCCUAUUUCCAGAGCUGUUUG